rnacentral:sRNA from 1 species
UACACUGGUGGUUGGCACUUCUGCUUGUGCAGUUCAAGGUUCAAGUCCUUGCAGUGUA